UGUGUAGGCGGCCGCGCAAGUCGGAUGUGAAAGCCCCGGGCUCAACCCGGGAAGUGCACCCGAAACUGCGUGGCUUGAGUACCGGAGAGGUUGGUGGAAUUCUCGGUGUAGAGGUGAAAUUCGUAGAUAUCGAGAGGAGCACCGGUGGCGAAGGCGGCCAACUGGACGAGUACUGACGCUGAGACACGAAAGCGUGGGGAGCAAACAGGAUUAGAUACCCUGGUAGUCCACGCCGUAAACGAUGGGUGCUAGGUGUCACGGGCUUUGACUCCUGUGGUGCCGUAGCCAACGCAUUAAGCACCCCGCCUGGGAAGUACGGCCGCAAGGCUAAA
rnacentral:rRNA from 1 species